CUCAAAAAAGAAAGGAAAUGUAAUCCCUCUCAAGAGCAGCAAACGGAUUUUUUAUAAAUUCUUCGCACCACUUUGAUCUUGUUGUUUCUUUUAUCGCGUUGUUGAAUCCGGGCUUUCUUUGAAGUGAAGUGAGGUGGAAGGAGAUUAUUUCUUGGCAUAUGAGGUUUAUCAUAUUAAUUAUGGAAGUUCUUGGAUGGACUGAGCUCUUGAACGACGUGAGGUACAGAUGCUCACGUUGGUAACCCGCCAGCUUAGGAGUCCUAUUCAGCUAUCUUGGAGAGCUCCCUUGUUCCGGAGCCUAGAUUUUGGUACAGAAUCUCUUGUGGUGUAUAUGUAUUUUAUCCAGGGGUACGGCGGGGCCCUGUCCCGUCAUAUGAUACUGUUGUUACUCUUAGAGGUCUGUAGACAUAUGUGUGGGUUGUG